UGUCACAAAGAAUGUUCUAUCCUGUGGCAGACGAUGUAAGAAGUGCGCAUCACGAAAAAUAUUUUUAUGUGGCGGAUAGCGCGAACGUCACAAAGAAUGUUCUAUCCUGUGGCAAGAAUGCGGUAUAAAGUUUUGCGAGAAAUGAAGGAUAAAAAAGAGUUUUCUGGCUUUCCUUUUGUUCCCUCGUUGCUUUUUUUCACAAUUAUUGUUUUUACACUCGAAUAUUCGCCCCUGAUUUUUGGCGGCGCAUCGAAUGCGUUAAACGAGUAUCUCGAAAAUUGUUGAUGUCGCGUGUACGUUUAUUUGUUUUCAAUCCUGUUUUCGACGCAUUGUUACACUCGCGGCUAACUUUUUAACCGAGCGUGCUAAGCGUAAUACUUAUCACGGAUGAACGUUUCUUUCUUAUGAUUUCGUUUCGAACAAGGGAAGAUCGAAUGCGUGAAUUUUAUUGUAAAUUUUUAUUGUAAUAGCACGAAAGAGUUGAAGGACGAAACGAACGAGAUUCGAAGAUGUACGAUGCGUUUAUGAUGGUUGUACGAAAUAUAAGAGGAUAUUCUUUCGA